GAUCAGCGACAGUUGCUUUUUCAUUAAGCGGGAGUAAAGUAGUAAACUUACAGGAACAUAUACCACUACCAACGUUUGGAUCGAUAUCUGCAUCGAUCUGCACACCCUUGUCUCCUGGAUCGUUGCUCAGAUCAGCGUGAACCACGUGGGUCUCUGCUCCCUGAUCUGUUUCUUAAGACUUUCAGCUUCAUCGCGGAGUUUCUCUCGGUUUGUGGGCUCAUCUAAAGGGGUAAACUACGUCUAUAUACUUUUUGUGUCCCAGCUGAGUAACAGCAGAAGAGUCUGGUGGAGCAACAGAGGAACAAUUUCAGCCAUUUGGACUCAGCUCAGCCACUACAGAGGAAACAAUGUCUUUAACACAAAAGGACCAACAUGAGGCAAAAAGUCAGCGCUCUCAGGAGGCCAAAAAACCUCACAGAAGAAAGG